UACGUAGGGUGCAAGCGUUAAUCGGAAUUACUGGGCGUAAAGCGUGCGCAGGCGGUUUUGUAAGUUUGUCGUGAAAUCCCCGGGCUCAACCUGGGAAUUGCGAUGAAGACUGCAAGGCUAGAAUCUGGCAGAGGGGGGUAGAAUUCCACGUGUAGCAGUGAAAUGCGUAGAGAUGUGGAGGAACACCGAUGGCGAAGGCAGCCCCCUGGGUCAAGAUUGACGCU
rnacentral:rRNA from 1 species